GGUCCUAUGGUGUAGUGGCAGCACAUGGGAUUUUGAUACGGUCAAUCCUUCCCACAACCCAGGUUCGAACCCUGGUAGGACCU